GUGGGGAAUCUUCCGCAAUGGACGAAAGUCUGACGGAGCAACGCCGCGUGAGUGAUGAAGGUCUUCGGAUUGUAAAGCUCUGUUAAUCGGGACGAAAGAGCCUAGUGUGAAUAAUGCUAGGAAGUGACGGUACCGGAAUAGAAAGCCACGGCUAACUACGUGCCAGCAGCCGCGGUAAUACGUAGGUGGCAAGCGUUGUCCGGAAUUAUUGGGCGUAAAGCGCGCGCAGGCGGAUCUGCCAGUCUGUCUUAAAAGUUCGGGGCUUAACCCCGUGAUGGGAUGGAAACUACAGAUCUAGGGUAUCGGAGAGGAAAGUGGAAUUCCUAGUGUAGCGGUGAAAUGCGUAGAUAUUAGGAAGAACACCAGUGGCGAAGGCGACUUUCUGGACGAAAACUGACGCUGAGGCGCGAAAGCCAGGGGAGCGAACGGGAUUAGAAACCCGAGUAGUCC
rnacentral:rRNA from 1 species